rnacentral:lncRNA from 1 species
GUGAGUACUUAGUAGUAGACAAAGGUAUAAAACAUAAAAUUUAGAAUAAGUCAGACCUUAACAAUUUUCUGCUAUGAAUUAUUAGAAAACUAUUAUUACCAUAUUUCAAUGUUUUACUGCCUAAGUUGAGCUCACAAGUAAUUACUGUUAUUUCUGUUUCAGAGAACCAUUUUGAAGAAGGUUCAACUAGUCUUACAUAUUUUAUAUGGCAAAAUAUUCUUAUAUAUUCUGUGUUCCCAGGUGAAUUUAGAUGAAUGCAGAGGGCAUUUGGGGGUGCAAAAGUAACUGAGCGAUGAGAUGCUUAUAAAGCAGAUAUCAGUUAUCCUCUGUUCUUUGAAUGAUAUCUCAUAAAGGCAAAGAAAUGACACUGGAUAAUGCAAGGCGGUAAGAGAAGAGGAGACAGUGGCUCCGUUUGCUGCUGGGGAAAUUUUUCCUGUGGAAUGGACACAGAAGAAGAAGCAGAGGGCUUUCUCUCUGUGAGGUCAUACACUCUGGAGCCAGUGGUACAAGUCUCCAUCUGACUGGCCAGGAAGAAGGUAGCAUCUGCCCAUUCAUAUACAGAAGACCAGGUGAAAUUAUUUGAAUAACACUCACUCAACUCAAUAACAGAGUGACCCAAAGGUCAACAUCCCUAUUUUCUGGCAUCAGUAAUGUUACAGACCCAUCCUCUUCAUUUACCAACCCCUACCUUCUGUUAAUUUGUUAACACUGAAUUAUAUUUCCUCCACAAUUCAGAAUAUACCCUGAAAGUUCCCUGACAUAUUAAGCUAAAACUACCCUCUGCUUCAAUCUUUGCCCCACAUUUUGCUUGGACUUUUCCCUUGGUGCUUAAUAAUGAGGCACAACCGAUAUUGGUAAUUUAUAUAUGCAAGUACUGUGUUCUUCUGCCAGAAGUUUGAGAUUCUUGAAAGUUUGGGAAUGCACAUUUUUAAUCUCUCAAUGCUAGUUACUAAAGCAGGAUCAGGAAAAACAGAAAUCUUCAUUUAGCAACAUUGAUUGAUUACCAAACAAUUAUGGCCACAGAAAGGGAGUUUUGAGUCCUAUCGUCUU